rnacentral:rRNA from 1 species
UACGUAGGGACCGAGCGUUGUCCGGAUUCAUUGGGCGUAAAGAGCUCGUAGGCGGCUGUUCAAGUCGAACGUGAAAACUCGGAGCUCAACUCCGAGCCUGCGUUCGAUACUGGACGGCUAGAGUCUGGUAGGGGGAUUUGGAAUUCCGUGGUGUAGCGGUGAAAUGCGCAGAUAUCGGGAAGAACGACCCGUGGCGAAGGCGGCUCUCUGGGACGGUACUGGACGCUGAG